rnacentral:rRNA from 1 species
AGACGUAGGGGGCGAGCGUUGCUCGGAUUCACUGGGCUUAAAGCGCGCGUAGGCGGAUAAUUAAGUCAGAUGUGAAAUCCCCGGGCUCAACCUGGGAACUGCAUUUGAUACUGAUUAACUAGAGUAUGGUAGAGGUGAGUGGAAUUUCCGGUGUAGCGGUGAAAUGCGUAGAGAUCGGAAGGAACACCAGUGGCGAAGGCGACUCACUGGGCCAUUACUGACGCUGAGGUGCGAAAGCGUGGGUAGCAAACAGGAUUAGAAACCCUAGUAGUCC